CAAACUGACGCCACAGUCAUAAACAUUUUCUGGCCCUGGGACUAACUGUUGAGGCUCGCUGGUGAAGCUGAUAAGCCCCACAGGAUGGCACAGCCUGGCUUAUCGAGCUCGGCCAAGCCAGAGGACCUCUGCUAUCUCUGGAGCAACUGGCAGAGGAAAAACUCAUCCCCUUAUCUCCCCUCUGCUGGGGAAAUAACACUCCUUCCAGCCUCGCUGUCCACUAACUUCAGGUGGUGCUCUCAUCUGUGUUUUUUUACGACAGCCUCAUGGAGGACUGCAGUGACGGAGCAGAAACAAGAGGCCCAGACUUUCUAUUUGACUCCUACAUGCUGUGCGAGGCUCUUCUGGCACGCAGACAAGAUUACAGCCGAAGUGUUUAUUUUCAGUGAAAGAAGUUUGUUAUCACACGAGCAGGAGCUAAUUUCAACACAAUAGCAGUGUCUGUUUCAGCGUGGUGAUCGGAAAUCUAAUGUUGAAGUGAGGGCAGAUUAUUUUAUGAGCAAAAAUGAAAACAAUCUUUCGUGCAGAGUGGAAACUCAUAACAGACUAUUGACACACACAAUAGAAAGAAAGAAGCAAAUCCAGUCUGGUUAAAUACCAACCAGCCAAACCUGAAGAUCAGGAGCCUUAACCGACAUUUGUCCAAGGGCCAGAAUGUUUCUAAGCAGACGGUGUCGGGGCUGGAAAAUCCCUUUAUUUCAAGAUCAAUGCUAUUUUAUUAGCCUAUAGCGUCCACUGCCGCUGUAGCUGAUCACCUGCAGCUUCAAAUCAAUAACUGAUAUCCAGUAAGCAGGUGUUGGCUGGUAAAAGACUUCAGUGAAGGACGCUCAUAUGUAUCCUCGCUGAUUGCCCCACAGAGAUGCCACCUCCUCUGUGCAGAAAUAACAGCUUCGGCAUGGCCUGCAAGAUGGCGAACCAGAACGACCUCCAUUACGAGGAAGGAUGAAGGAGGAAGGAAAUGUCAGACAAAAGAGUAUCCCGUGUAUUUCGUGGUCAAGUUGCCUGACCACAUGGGAAGUUACCUUUCCAGCUUCUGGUGGAACUCAGAGGAGGCCUAGAUUUUACCUGAUGGUGUUUUCCGUCUAUCAUAAUAAAAUAAAAGGGUAACACUGGUUAUAUCAUAUUUUACUGAUACUACACAGGAAGUCCGUGUUUAAGAGGCUUAAAUCUUAUUAUCUGUAGUCUUUUAUUAUGAACCACAGCAGAUGUGUGGACUCUCAAACUGUUUCUUGGCUCAGCUUUGGAAAAUCUGAGGAAUUAUCUUUUCCUCAGCGCCGCUCUAAACCCACCCCGUCAAGCGUCUUUUCCUUCCUCUUUGAGAGUUUACACCUCACGUAUGCAGUCAAAGGGCACCUGGCUCUGCAGGCCGUGUUUGUCCAGAGAGUGACCACGCCAAAGCAUGGGGGCAGUCACCACAGUUGCGUCCUGACCGGUAGGGGUGCUGAACAAACUGUCGUGUAAGUGCACCUGUGUGAAGUGGCCGACCACUCCUCCAUUGAUGGAUCCCACUCCGUAGCGCCAGUCCUUCACCUCGUCAUACCAGGACUGGAUAGCGUUGCUCCAGCUGUUUUUGUAGCUAGACUUGUACAGGUUCUCUCCACAGCCACUAGCUGCAGUAAAAGAGGAGGAGACGGAGAUGGAGUUGCAUACAAUUUUAUGCUCUGAUGAGACAACAAACUUGUUUCAUAGUCGUUCUUGCUUGUUUCUGUACUUGUAAAAUGACAGCGUGGUGUACCUUGUGUAAAGUGUGGUUUGAAAUGAAGAGGUGAACUUACUGCUGAUCUUUCUGGAGCUGUCAGAGCUAUGCUUCAUGGAGCAGGUGUUGGCCCAUCUCUGAGCGUUGGCUGCAGCCUCACUGCUCCAGCUCUGUGGGGAGCAGAGGGCAGAGCAACAUUAGCACAUGUAGACGACUACAGUACACACCAGGAAAUCUCCCAAAGCUGCGUGCUGGUCUGGGAAAUCAGUUUAUCUUUAACUGAUAUGCUGCACGAGAGACAGUGUGCAAUAUCUAAUCAAGCACUGAUAGAUCAAGUGACAACCCGGGCUCAAGAUAAAAUUUAGUGAAGCUCACUAAGCUUUUAAAAUUGUGAAAUCAUUUUAACAGAUCAGUGUGAUACCAUUUCCAGCAUGUUGCUUGCACUUUGCUUUCUUCUCAGUUCAUUAUGCUUGUUCACAAUCUGAGCCUGUUCUGAGGAAGUGGAGCCCGUGCUAAUGCCUAAAUAAACAAAAGAAGAAAAGGAAAAAACAUGUUUAGUUAGAAUGUAUAUGGAUAUUCUUAAUCUUCCAAUGAUAGUUACAAACACUCACCUCCUCCACCCUGUCCAGUGUCUUCCUCAGAAGAAGAGUCAAAGAACCAGAACGCUGAGGUUCCAGGUAGCUGAAGUGCAGCAAUGAGGCCCAAGGUGCACAGGAGAGUCAAAGUGUACAUCGUCAUGGUUGAAUCCACGACUGUCCGAGAGUUACAGGUGCUGAACAAACUGUCGUGUAAGUGCACCUGUGUGAAGUGGCCGACCACUCCUCCAUUGAUGGAUCCCACUCCGUAGCGCCAGUCCUUCACCUCGUCGUACCAGGACUGGAUUGCGUUGCUCCAGCUGUUUUUGAAGCUAGACAUGUACAGGUUCUCUCCACAGCCACUAGCUGCAGUAAAAGAGGAGGAGACGGAGAUGCUUUCACCUUAUUAAAACUCACUAUGAAAGAAAUUUAAUUGUCUCCGCUGCACAGUGUCUUUGUAAAAGCAGGAACUCGAGCUGAAACCUGAACUCCAACUCUCACUCCUCACAGGAUAUGUGGACACUUUAUGUGCACUUCAAACCAAUAAAACCCACUCAGCAUUAAUGCAAUUCUCUGUCAGAAAUAAGAUAAUUUCUGAGAUGCAGAUGAUAAACCAUAGUUAACAGUUACACCCAGGUAAAAAAAUCUCAUCAUAAAGUGACACAUAAAACUAGUCAGUAAAACCUGCUUUUACACUUCAUUUACAUUGCGUAUUUAGCCACUGCAAAGAUUAAUUUUAAUGCUGAGUUUUCUUGACAUUAA